rnacentral:rRNA from 1 species
AUUGAACGCUGGCGGCAGGCCUAACACAUGCAAGUCGAGCGGCAGAAGGGAGCUUGCUCCUGGAUUCAGCGGCGGACGGGUGAGUAAUGCCUAGGAAUCUGCCUGGUAGUGGGUGAUAACGUCCGGAAACGGGCGCUAAUACCGCAUACGUCCUGAGGGAGUAAGUGGGGGAUCUUCGGACCUUACGCUAUCAGAUGAGCCGAGGUCGGGUUAGCUGGUUGGUGGGGUAAAGGCCUACCAAGGCGACGAUCCGUAGCUGGUCUGAGAGGAUGAUCAGCAACACUGGAACUGAGACACGGUCCAGACUCCUACGGGAGGCAGCAGUGGGGAAUAUUGGACAAAGGGCGCAAGCCUGAUCCAGCCAUACCGCGUGGGUGAAGAAGGCCUUCGGAUUGUAAAGCCCUUUUGUUGGGAAAGAAAAGCAGAAGGUUAAUACCCCGCUGUUUUGACGGUACCAAAAGAAUAAGCACCGGCUAACUUCGUG